UUGGAAUUAAUGAGCCUUUGUUGACCGACGACGUGCUGCCUGUCGCAAAAAUAAAAGAAAAAUUUGCAGUCAAAACUAUACAUUUCGACAGGAAGCAUCAUUCCAAUCGAACGGUAUACUUCGAUCCAAAUAGAACAGCAGGAUUUCGAAACUCCAAACGAAGAAUAUGUGAUGGAAGUUUAAUGAGGACAGCCCUGACUGGCUUUGCGACGAAAUGUCAGAGAUAUGCUGUGAACGUGAAAACAUGGUGGGAAAGUUAGUUGUGCAGAAAGCGGGACAUAAAUAGCAUAUCCUUUCUCAAGAAUCCUGAAAUGAUUUCUCAUCAGAAUAGUGUAUUAUGGAAAAAGGAUGUACCCCGUCGCCAUUCUACGUGCCAUCGAUUUUUUCAUCAUUGUUCUAUCUGUGACAGGUUAAAGCAGGUCAACGAUCAAUAGAUGGCACCAUCUCACAAGACCUUAGUUGGAUUGAAAACCGUUAUGUGCUACAUAUCAUCUUUUUUAAGGCUUGUUUAUUCAUUUGACCUUAAACCCAUCGGCGUUUAUUUAUCAUGGUAUGUACAGAAAAGCAACAAUCACUUUUACUAAAACAAUAACUUCUGGUAAAGUAGUAAUGCCACAUGUUUACUAUAAUGAAAGUACGUGUACUGUAUAUCCCUCGUUCUGUGCCCCAUUUUGUUUUUUUGUUUUUUCACGAUGAUCUUUGUUGUCGCUACAUCAUAGUCUAGCAGACGGUUUCUUUUUCAUCACAGUGGUUAAGCCGGUUCUCUCAGAAACCGGCUUAGGUCUUUUCCUGCCCUCGUUUCAUUUAUUUGGGUUGCUUAGUGUGUCUGUCUCCGUGAUCAGUUGUUAAACAAGUGAAAUCAGGGCGAAAAUAACAUUGCCUUUCAGCUAAAUAUUUGUUGAAAUAGUAUGCAAGAUUUAUGUCCAGUGGCCAGUUGCAUUUGGUUCGUCAAGAACAGUACCACGAUCGCUGAGUAUUCUACAGAUUUCGAUUCUGCAAAGAUGUUGAGCGUCUUAUGGAUUUUGUGGAACCCUAUCGUUGGAUCUUUACUGGCCAGUAUUUUGGCCAUCUCUUACUGGGUUCAAACUCGUUUCGAACGUCAUAGUUGGCGAACCUACAAUUUGGUUCAGAGCCUCAUGGGGGAUUCGUUUUCUACUUUAUGCUGGGGGACCUUCGGAUGGGACUUGAAGGGUGAAAUGCUUUUCCCGAAAACGAUUGAUUAGCUUCAAGCCAAAAAAAAAAAAAAAGGGAAAAAAAAUUUCAAAAAUCAAUUUGAGCCAAACAGAAGAUUCACAUUAUGGAUAUGACAAAAACAGAUAAGUAAGCAAAUUGAAAAAAAAAAAAUGGACGUAGAAACGAAAUCAACUGUACAAAUAUUUCUAUUUUCGACCUGAAGAAAACAAUGAACUGAGGAAAUAAUUGUUUAAAUUUUUUUCAAAGCGUCGUUCCUCCAUGUUAUAAUAAACUUUAUCAGCACGUUUGUUGCUACAAAAUUC